rnacentral:rRNA from 1 species
GGUUAAGUUAACAAGGGCGCAUGGUGAAUGCCUUGGCACUAGGAGCCGAUGAAGGACGGGACUAACACCGAUAUGCUUCGGGGAGCUGUACGUAAGCUAUGAUCCGGAGAUUUCCGAAUGGGGCAACCCAGCAGUUUUAAUCAACUGUUACCACUAGAUGAAUUCAUAGUCUAGUUGGAGGUNNNNNNNNNNNNNNNNNNNNNNNNNNNNNNNNAUUUGAGUUACCAAAGAACUUGAUAGUCGAAGGAUUUGGGAAAAUCCGCCAUAGAUGGUGAUAGCCCAGUAGAUUAAAUCAAAUUCUCUCAGUUCAGGAUCCUGAGUACGGCGGAACACGUGAAAUUCCGUCGGAAUCCGGGAGGACCAUCUCCCAAGGCUAAAUACUACCUAGUGACCGAUAGUGAACCAGUACCGUGAGGGAAAGGUGAAAAGCACCCCGGGAGGGGAGUGAAAUAGUUCCUGAAACCAUGUGCCUACAAUAAGUCAGAGCGCGUUAAUGCGUGAUGGCGUGCCUUUUGUAGAAUGAACCGGCGAGUUAUGAUCCCGUGCAAGGUUAAGACUAAAAAGUCGGAGCCGUAGCGAAAGCGAGUCUGAAAUGGGCGUUUUGAGUACGAGGUUAUAGACCCGAAACCAGGUGACCUAUCCAUGUCCAGGUUGAAGGUGCGGUAAAACGCACUGGAGGACCGAACCCGUGUAAGUUGAAAAUUGCUGGGAUGAGGUGUGGAUAGCGGUGAAAUUCCAAACGAACUUGGAGAUAGCUGGUUCUCUCCGAAAUAGCUUUAGGGCUAGCCUCGGAAUUAGGAUCAUGGAGGUAGAGCACUAUUUGGACUAGGGGCCCGUCUUGGGUUACUGAAUUCAGAUAAACUCCGAAUGCCAUUGAUUCAUAUCCGGGAGUCAGACGAUGAGUGAUAAGAUCCACCGUCGAAAGGGGAACAGCCCAGACCAUCAGUUAAGGUCCCUAAAUGUAUGCUAAGUGGAAAAGGAUGUGGAGUUGCAUAGACAACUAGGAUGUUGGCUCAGAAGCAGCCACCAUUUAAAGAGUGCGUAAUAGCUCACUAGUCGAGUGAUCCNNNNNNNNNNNNNNNNNNNNNNNNNNNNNNNNNNNNNNNNNACUAAGGUUUCCUGGGGAAGGCUCGUCCUCCCAGGGUUAGUCGGGACCUAAGUCGAGGCCGAGAGGCGUAGACGAUGGAUAACAGGUUGAGAUUCCUGUACUAGUUAAGUGCGUUUGAGCAAUGGAGGGACGCAGGAGGCUAAGAUGUGCAUUCUGUUGGAUUAGAAUGUCCAAGCAGUAAGUCUUGUGAAGAGUCAAAUGCUUUUCACUUUAAGGACAAGCUGUGAUGGGGAGCGAAAUUUAGUAGCGAAGCGUCUGAUGUCACACUGCCGAGAAAAGCUUCUAGUGAGUACUUAACUACCCGUACCGCAAACCGACACAGGUAGUCGAGGAGAGAAUCCUAAGGUGAGCGAGUGAACUCUCGUUAAGGAACUCGGCAAAAUGACCCCGUAACUUCGGGAGAAGGGGUGCUGAUCGCAAGAUCAGCCGCAGUGAAUAGGCCCAGGCGACUGUUUAUCAAAAACACAGGUCUCUGCAAAAUCGUAAGAUGACGUAUAGGGGCUGACGCCUGCCCGGUGCUGGAAGGUUAAAAGGAUGGGUUAGCUUCGGCGAAGCUCAGAAUUGAAGCCCCAGUAAACGGCGGCCGUAACUAUAACGGUCCUAAGGUAGCGAAAUUCCUUGUCGGGUAAGUUCCGACCCGCACGAAAGGCGUAACGAUCUGGGCACUGUCUCAACGAGAGACUCGGUGAAAUUAUAUUGUCCGUGAAGAUGCGGACUACCCGCGACAGGACGGAAAGACCCCAUGGAGCUUUACUGUAGCUUGAUAUUGAGUGUUUGUACAGCUUGUACAGGAUAGGUAGGAGCCAUAGAAACCGGAACGCUAGUUUCGGUGGAGGCGUUGGUGGGAUACUACCCUCGCUGUAUGACCACUCUAACCCGCACCACUAAUCGUGGUGGGAGACAGUGUCAGGUGGGCAGUUUGACUGGGGCGGUCGCCUCCNGGGAGCUUGACUGCGAGACAGACAGGUCGAGCAGGGACGAAAGUCGGGCUUAGUGAUCCGGUGGUACCGUAUGGAAGGGCCAUCGCUCAACGGAUAAAAGCUACCCUGGGGAUAACAGGCUUAUCUCCCCCAAGAGUCCACAUCGACGGGGAGGUUUGGCACCUCGAUGUCGGCUCAUCGCAUCCUGGGGCUGUAGUCGGUCCCAAGGGUUGGGCUGUUCGCCCAUUAAAGCGGUACGCGAGCUGGGUUCAGAACGUCGUGAGACAGUUCGGUCCCUAUCCGUCGCGGGCGUAGGAAANAGUUGUGCCGCCAGGCGCAUCGCUGGGUAGCUACGUAUGGAUGUGAUAAACGCUGAAAGCAUCUAAGUGUGAAACACACCUCGAGAUGAGAUUUCCCAUUCCUUUAUGGAAGUAAGACCCCUGAAAGAUGAUCAGGUAGAUAGGUUAGAAGUGGCAGUGCGGUGACGCAUGAAGCGGACUAAUACUAAUCGGUCGAGGACUUAACCAA